rnacentral:rRNA from 1 species
UACGGGGGGGGCAAGCGUUGUUCGGAAUUACUGGGCGUAAAGGGCGCGUAGGCGGCCUUCUAAGUCGGACGUGAAAUCCCUCGGCCCAACCGAGGAACUGCGUCCGAUACUGAAAGGCUUGAAUCCGGGAGAGGGAUGUGGAAUUCCAGGUGUAGCGGUGAAAUGCGUAGAUAUCUGGAGGAACACCGGUGGCGAAGGCGGCAUCCUGGACCGGCAUUGACGCUGAGGCGCGAAAGCUAGGGGAGCAAACGGGGAUU